GCCAGGCGCGGUGGCUCACGCCUGUAAUCCCAGCACUUUGGGAGGCCGAAGCGGGCAGAUCACGAGGUCAGGAGAUCAAGACCAUCCUGGUUAACACGGUGAAGCCCCGUCUCUACUAAAAAUACAAAAAACUAUCCGGGCGAGGUGGCGGGCUGAUUUUUGUAUUUUUGGUAGAGAUGGGGUUUCACCGUGUUGGCCAGGCUGGCCUCGAACUCCUGACCUCACGUGAUCUGCCCGCCUCGG
ensembl:misc_RNA Metazoa_SRP Metazoan signal recognition particle RNA